UACGGAAAGCUGCGGCAAGUACGGAAAAGCUGAGAGCAGGCUUCCAGGAAAAGCUUCUAGCACAACACGCAUCGGCCCGUACCGAAAAUGGACACACAUGGGCAAGGAGAGAAUCCCGAGGUGAGCGAGAGAACUAUAGCUAAGGAACUCUGCAAAAUGACCCCGUAACUUAGGGAGAAGGGGUGCUCCAGAAAUGGAGCCGCAGUAAAACGGCCCAAGCGACUGUUUACCAAAAACACAGCUCUCUGCGAAGGCGCAAGCCGAAGUAUAGGGGGUGACGCCUGCCCGGUGCUGGAAGGUCAAGGGGAGCUGUCAGCGCAAGCGAAGCAGCGAGCCGAAGCCCCAGUAAACGGCGGCCGUAACGAUAACGGUCCUAAGGUAGCGAAAUUCCUUGUCGGGCAAGUUCCGACCCGCACGAAAGGCGUAACGAUUUGGGCGCUGUCUCAGCUGUAGACUCGGUGAAGUCUUAGUACCUGUGAAGAUGCAGGUUGCCCGCGACUAGACGGAAAGACCCCAUGGAGCUUCACUGCAGGUUGACAUUGGGCUUGGAUGCAUGAUGUACAGGAUAGGUGGGAGGCUGUGAGCCGUGCGCGCCAGCGUACGGGGAGCCGCUGUUGGGAUACCACCCUUCAUGCAUCUAGGUCCUAACCGGAGGCAACGGGCCACGGGACAGUGUCAGUCGGGCAGUUUGACUGGGGCGUUCGCCUCCCAAAGAGUAACGGAGGCGCCCAAAGAUACCCUCAGCAUGGAUGGAAACCAUGCAUAGAGUGCAAAGGCAUAAGGGUGUCUGACUGCGAGACAUACAGGUCGAGCAGGGACGAAAGUCGGGCUUAGUGAUCCGGCGGAUCCGAAUGGAAGGGCCGUCGCUCAACGGAUAAAAGCUACCCUGGGGAUAACAGGCUGAUCUCCCCCAAGAGUUCACAUCGACGGGGAGGUUUGGCACCUCGAUGUCGGCUCAUCGCAUCCUGGAGCUGAAGUCGGUUCCAAGGGUUGGGCUGUUCGCCCAUUAAAGCGGUACGCGAGCUGGGUUCAGAACGUCGUGAGACAGUUCGGUCCCUAUCUGUCGUGGGCGCAGGAGGUUUGAGGAGAGCUGCCCCUAGUACGAGAGGACCGGGGUGGACGGACCGAUGGUGCACCAGUUGUCACGCCAGUGGCACAGCUGGGCAGCCAAGUCCGGACGGGAUAAGCGCUGAAGGCAUCUAAGCGUGAAGCCCCCUCC
rnacentral:rRNA from 1 species